ncrna:Halogranum salarium B-1 eL15-Euryarchaeota ribosomal protein leader
CCCGUGACCCGUACGGGAACGGGACGAAAUGUGGUUGCGCGGCGAGGACGACGACGUGUCGUCUUCGUUGGCGGAACUGAAUCGCAAG